UGGGGAAUAUUGCACAAUGGAGGGAACUCUGAUGCAGCGACGCCGCGUGAACGAAGAAGGCUUUCGAGUCGUAAAGUUCUUUUAUAUGGGAAGAUAAUGACGGUACCAUAAGAAAAAGCCCCGGCUAUCUACGUGCCAGCAGCCGCGGUAAUACGUAGGGGGCUAGCGUUGUCCGGAAUCACUGGGCGUAAAGGGUUCGCAGGCGGAAAUGCAAGUCAGGUGUAAAAGGCAGUAGCUUAACUACUGUAAGCAUUUGAAACUGCAUAUCUUGAGAAGAGUAGAGGUAAGUGGAAUUUUUAGUGUAGCGGUGAAAUGCGUAGAUAUUAAAAAGAAUACCGGUGGCGAAGGCGACUUACUGGGCUCAUUCUGACGCUGAGGAACGAAAGCGUGGGUAGCAAACAGG
rnacentral:rRNA from 1 species